GGAGUGAUUAAUAACAAGAGUAAAACCGGUACGAAUAAAGCGACUGCCCAAGUUACCCAGUCAAUGGAGAGGCCGAGGAUUUUUUGAAGUAAUCCGUCGCUAACGCAUUUGGCGCCAUAGCCGUUAAGAAUAAAAAGGGAUGUUACUUUUGUUACCAUGUAUGUAUUAGUCAUUAAAUAACGACCUACUUUGUUCGCUGUUUCACCAGGUUCAGAACCCAAGGAUUUCGCUACGGAGUUCA
rnacentral:antisense_RNA from 1 species